rnacentral:rRNA from 1 species
UGGGGAAUAUUGCACAAUGGGCGAAAGCCUGAUGCAGCGACGCCGCGUGAGGGAUGACGGCCUUCGGUUGUAACCUCUUCAGCAGGACGAAGCGAGAGUGACGGUACCUGCAGAAGAAGCGCCGGCCAACUACGUGCCAGCAGCCGCGGUAAUACGUAGGAUGCAAGCGUUGUCCGGAAUUAUUGGGCGUAAAGGGUGCGCAGGCGGUUUUUCAAGUCAGAUGUGAAAUAUCCCGGCUUAACUGGGAGGGGCCAUUUGAAACUGAAAGACUAGAGUGCAGGAGAGGAUAGCGGAAUUCCCGGUGUAGUGGUGAAAUGCGUAGAUAUCGGGAGGAACACCAGUGGCGAAGGCGGCUAUCUGGCCUGCAACUGACGCUGAGGCACGAAGGCUAGGGGAGCGAACAGGAUUAGAUACC